GUCUCCCAUAUCUUAAGAGUUUAGAGAGAUAGUUAAUGUAGCAGAUUGGAUGCAAGAAUGAAGAUCUAACGACACCACCCGAGAAAGAAGAAGCAUAGAGAGAGGCCACACAUCAUAUGCAGGAGAGAAGGGCACACAAGAUCCAUGCCGAACUUCAAACACUCAUUCAGAAAGAAAGAAAGAAAGAAAUCACAGCAUCAACUCUUAUUACGAACCCCAAAACAACUUUUUUUGUAGUCAAAACCUAAUGCUAAUAGAAAUUCCUGAACAGCAAAGGAAGCCAGGAAUACAAAAAGUGAUUCAAGAAACAGAUAGGAAAAGGAGGAAAGUUUCUGGACUCUCACCACAAGAAGAAGAAAAAUAGAGAAAGCUUACCCCCUUAACACCUCAUAUUCUUGAAGAAGCUCAACUCUAGAAGAUUUCUUUUUUUCUUUUUCUCACUAUCAUGAAAUUAAAAAGUGUGUGUGUGUGUGUGUGUGUGUGUGUGUGUGUGUCAGACUUGUCAACAACAUUUUAAAAAGCAAAUAGUGUGUAGCAUAGCAUUCACCCCUCCAAAGAGUGUGAUGUAAGCUACAUAGCAUGUACCCUAAGUUGCAUGCUAUGUUCUAGAUUUUUAACUAAGGUUGAGCCUGGUUGUGAUAUUUGAUGCAACCAAACGCAUCCUAAAAUAAUAGGAAAAAUAGGGUAAAUAUCGACUAUAAAGAUAAAGAAAUAGCAACAGAAUUGAUUUAAUACUGUUGAUUAAAUUAUUUCACGAAAAUCAUUAAAAACAUUAACUAAUUUUUAUUGAAAAUAGAAAAAUAGAAAAAAAGAAAUCAUUGAAAACAUUAAUUAAUUUUAAGGUUUAGUGAAAAUAACUUGUUAUGUAAGCUAACAUGGCAUGUAGCACAUUUUUUUUUUCUUUUUUUGGAAAAAAAAAAAACUGUUUUGGGACUGUUGUGAGACCGUUACGGGUCAUUUUUUAUUUUUUUUCUAUUACAGCCGUACAUAACCAUUUUGACAUACAAUGAUGUAGCGUAAGCUACAUAGCAUGUAGUGUAUGCUAAUUAGCAUGUAGCAUAGGCUAAAUGUUACUUAACUAUUUUCAUGAGCUACAUAGUGUGAAACCCAAGCCACACACAUAGCAUAAGCCAAAUGCUACGUAGCGUAAGCUAUUUACAAUACUUCUUGCCAAUACCUCUAUAUGACAUACAAAUGCCUCUAUUAUAUCUCUAUCAUCUACACAACUAUACGAAAGCUGUUGGAUCCAAUAGGACCUGUUGCUAUGCAAAGAAACCUAGUCAAAAAAUAACUCAAUGUACAACAAAAUGAAAGGAACAAAUAAAUAAGGAAACACAAUAAAAUGGGACUCUUGAACUCAAUGACAUGGGCUUUAGAAGCUUAAAGUUUUCUGUAGGCUUAAUUCGAGAGGUAUGGGAUCACAUGUAAGGCCCACACUUGGUGAUCUAAAGGCUGUUGGGGCCAACCAAUGUGGGACUCGAAAAGUGAUUGAAACUGCUGACAGGCCCCUGGACAGAUGUGAUGGCAUUAACUGCCAAUUGAGCAGGCUGCAGAAUCCAUGCUGACCCAGUUGUUGAUCAGAUGUGGUCCUGCAUCAGUCCCCAUGGCAGACAAAGUUGUCCUCGAGUUGUUGCUUGCAAUCUCCACUUGCUGCCUGUUUGCUUUGUACACUGGUUUUGACAGGUACUCAUGCUGCCCGUGUCUUUAGCAGUGUCUUCCACUGCUUCUUUGGCAGAGCAUUUGCUUGCAUGGCACGGUGGGUUGUCCUUUGAAGCUCUGCCGUCAGUUUCGUGUAUCUUCUGCAAAGUGAGAACCGAAGAGAAUUAUUGUUACCCUGGCAACUUCUUCUCCACAGAAUCCUUCAUCGGUGUGAGUGUAGUAUUUCUCCCAUCAUGCAUAAACAGGUAGAGGCAUCAGUUAUCCAUCCUACUUUACAUGAAAGAGGGUGCCUUUUCUGCUCGAAGUUUUAGUUUGUCGAGCAAUUAUUGGGACAAUAUUAAAGUCAUCUGUCAUCAGUUAAUGUUUUCUGUAUCAUUAUCGCGCAAUGUAUCGCACUUUUGAGAUACGGAUACAUGUCAGUUAUCACACGGGUUGUAUUAGUUGUA